rnacentral:rRNA from 1 species
GACGAACGCUGGCGGCGUGCCUAAUACAUGCAAGUCGAACGCAGUGGGGACGGGUGAGUAACACGUGGGUAACCUCCCAUCAGAGGGGAUAACACUUGGAAACAGGUGCUAAACCGAUACUGAUUGAUGUACCCGCGGUGCAUUAGCUAGUUGGGGGGGUAACGGCGCACCAAGGCCACGAUGCAUAGCCGGCCUGAGAGGGUGAUCGGCCACACUGGAACUGAGACACGGCCCAGACUCCUACGGGAGGCAGCAGUAGGGAAUAUUGGGAAAUGGGCGAAAGUCUGACCGAGCAACGCCGCGUGAGUGAAGAAGGUUUUCGGAUCGUAAAACUCUGUUGUUAGAGAAGCGGUAUCUAACCAGAAAGCAACGGCUAACUACGUGCCAGCAGCCGCGGUAAUAC